UCUCCUCUCACUGUUUCCACCAUCCUCCUCGCCUCCUAUCUCUAUUGCCGCUCGGCCCGCUCCUACCACUCCCCCAGUGCCCCCAACAGCAACCACCACCACCACCGCAGUAACCACACACCUUGACGCCUGGCUGAAGCUGAACGGCUGGUGCCCGGUUUCCAGGAACUUGCCGCUGCCAACCCCGCUGUCCACGCCGCUCUCGGAGGUCGUUUCACUCUCGCAGACUCGCAGUACGCCGCGGAUCGGAGGCGGAGGAGGUGAUAAGAUUUGUUGUGAUUGCUGAACAAAGAUAAGGGCUUGGACUUGAACAAAGAUGUCCAUAUUCAAAAUUGGCACAGUUCAUGAAGUUUUGUUGUAUUACAGCUGCAGAAGCUGUGUUAAUUCAGCAGUUUUGAGUUUUAUUUGCA